rnacentral:rRNA from 1 species
AUUGAACGCUGGCGGCAUGCUUUACACAUGCGAGUCGAACGGCAGCGCGGGCUUCGGCCUGGCGGCGAGUGGCGAACGGGUGAGUAAUGCAUCGGAACGUGCCCAGUAGUGGGGGAUAGCCCGGCGAAAGCCGGAUUAAUACCGCAUACGACCUGAGGGUGAAAGCGGGGGACCGAAAGGCCUCGCGCUAUUGGAGCGGCCGAUGUCGGAUUAGCUAGUUGGUGGGGUAAAGGCUUACCAAGGCGACGAUCCGUAGCUGGUCUGAGAGGACGACCAGCCACACUGGGACUGAGACACGGCCCAGACUCCUACGGGAGGAAGCAGUGGGGAAUUUUGGACAAUGGGGGCAACCCUGAUCCAGCCAUGCCGCGUGCGGGAAGAAGGCCUUCGGGUUGUAAACCGCUUUUGUUCGGGAAGAAAUCCUCUGGGCUAAUACCCCGGGGGGAUGACGGUACCGGAAGAAUAAGCACCGGCUAACUACGUG